UACGAAGGGGGCUAGCGUUGCUCGGAAUUACUGGGCGUAAAGGGAGCGUAGGCGGACAUUUAAGUCAGAGGUGAAAUCCCGGAGCUCAACUUCGGAACUGCCUUUGAUACUGGGUGUCUUGAGUAUGAUAGAGGUAUGUGGAACUCCGAGUGUAGAGGUGAAAUUCGUAGAUAUUCGGAAGAACACCAGUGGCGAAGGCGACAUACUGGAUCAUUACUGACGCU
rnacentral:rRNA from 1 species